UACGGAGGGAGCUAGCGUUGUUCGGAAUUACUGGGCGUAAAGCGCGCGUAGGCGGCGACUCAAGUCAGAGGUGAAAGCCCGUGGCUCAACCACGGAAUUGCCUUUGAAACUGUGUUGCUAGAGUGUCGGAGGGGAUAGCGGAAUUCCUAAUGUAGAGGUGAAAUUCGUAGAUAUUAGGAGGAACACCGGUGGCGAAGGCGGCUAUCUGGACGACAACUGACGCUGAGGCGCGAAAGCGCGGGGAUCAAACAGG
rnacentral:rRNA from 1 species